rnacentral:rRNA from 1 species
UUUUAAGAGAGUUUGAUCCUGGCUCAGGAUGAACGCUGGCGGCGUGGAUAAGGCAUGCAAGUCGAGCGAUCUAUUUCCCGCAAGGGAGAUGGGUAGCGGCGAACGAGUUAGUAAUACCUUGGUACGUACCCCGAAGUCGGGCAUAGCUCACCGAAAGGUGAGGUAAUUCCCGAUAGUAUGGAAACAUUAAAGGAGCAAUCCACUUUGGGAGCGGCCUAGGUCCUAUCAGCUUGUUGGUGAGGUAACGGCUCACCAAGGCUAUGACGGGUAGGGGGUGUGAGAGCACGGCCCCCAACGACGAGACUGAGACACGGCUCGUACACCUACGGGUGGCAGCAGUCGAGAAUAUUCGACAAUGGGCCGCAGAGCUUCUCCAGUAAUGGAGAAUAGAAAAUUCAGCUUAUAUGCUGAAACAUUUCUUGCUGUCCGCUGAAGUCCCAUUUUUUACAAUAAAAAAGUGGGCGCGGCAAGAAACAAUCAGCAGGGAAGUUGUUAUAAUUAAGGUAAUAUGGAUAGUAUUUCCAAACAGCAAAAAUCAAUUAUCAUAGGAACUUUAUUGGGCGAUGGCUACAUAUACAAAGAUAAAUAUGGGGGCUGUCGUUUAGAGAUAAAACAUUCAGAUAAACAACGAGAUUAUGUUUUUUGGCUCCAUCAAACAUUAAAAAGUAUUUGCCCGGGUGAACCAAAACAGAGGAAAGAUAACCAGCAAUGGAAAUUCAAUACCGAAUCUAAUGAUAACAUUAAAUGUCUCGGAAAUACUAAUUGAUCCUUUGAGUUUAGCAAUUUGGUAUAUGGAUGAUGGGAGUUUAGAUUUUAGACCAAAAAGUCAUUAUGCUUUUAGUUUAAAAACUAACUCUUUCACCUUAAAAGAAUGUAAUUUAUUAACCAGGGUUUUAGAUAAAAAUUUUGGUGUAAAUUCUUCUGUUCAAUAUCCAAUUUGCAGAGGUACAAGAUACCCUCAGAUUUAUAUCGGUAAGCAAGGACGAAAUCAGUUUUUAAAACUGAUAGAAUCACACAUUAUAACUUGCUUUAGAUAUAAACUGCCUAAAUUAUAAUUAACCCCCCAGAGACUUAGCCAUCUUUAUGGCUAGAUGGAUGUUUUUUUAACAUUCAUAAUACGCUGAACCCCUUCUUUAGACGAGAAGGGUGAUGAUAUAGUCCAAUAUAUUAUAGACAAUAUAACUUACGUAUUGUUAAAGGCCAGCAGCAGCGGUAAUACAGAGACCCCAAGCGUUAUCCGGAGUUACUGGGCGUAAAGCGCAAGUAGUCGGCAAUUAUAGUCUGAUGUUAAAUCUCAUGGCUUAACUGUGAGGCCGCAUUAGAAACGUAAUUGCUUGAGCGAGUCAGAGGCAAGCGGAACGUGUGGUGUAGCGGUGAAAUGCGUUGAUAUCACACGGAACACCAAAAGCGAAGGCAGCUUGCUAGGGCUUUGCUGACGAUCAGUUGCGAAAGCGUGGGCAUAAAAAAGGAUUAGAUACCCUUGUAUUCCACGCCCUAAACGAUGCAGAUUAGCUAUCGGGAGCAUCGACCCU